rnacentral:rRNA from 1 species
CACGUAGGGUGCGAGCGUUUGUCCGGAAUUAUUGGGCGUAAAGAGCUCGUAGGCGGUGUGUCGCGUCGGCCGUGAAAACUUUCAGCUUAACUGGGAGCUUGCGGUCGAUACGGGCAUCACUGGAGUUCGGCAGGGGAGACUGGAAUUCCUGGUGGUAGCGGUGAAAUGCGCAGAUAUCAGGAGGAACACCGGUGGCGAAGGCGGGUCUCUGGGCCGAUACUGACGCUGAGGAGCGAAAGCGUGGGGAGCGAACAGG